rnacentral:rRNA from 1 species
UAGGGAAUCUUCCACAAUGGACGCAAGUCUGAUGGAGCAACGCCGCGUGAGUGAAGAAGGUUUUCGGAUCGUAAAUCUCUGUUGUUGGUGAAGAAGGAUAGAGGCAGUAACUGGUCUUUAUUUGACGGUAAUCAACCAGAAAGUCACGGCUAACUACGUGCCAGCAGCCGCGGUAAUACGUAGGUGGCAAGCGUUGUCCGGAUUUAUUGGGCGUAAAGCGAGCGCAGGCGGAAUGAUAAGUCUGAUGUGAAAGCCCACGGCUCAACCGUGGAACUGCAUCGGAAACUGACAUUCUUGAGUGCAGAAGAGGAGAGUGGAAUUCAAUGUGUAGCGGUGGAAUGCGUAGAUAUAUGGAAGAACACCAGUGGCGAAGGCGGGUCUCUGGUCUGCAACUGACGCUGAGGCUCGAAAGCAUGGGUAGCGAACAGG